rnacentral:sRNA from 1 species
ACAGGCAGGGCGGGCGGGGCGGCCGACGACGUUCGUCAUUUAGUGCGGGAGGGAGCCUGAACCGCGCGGCCGAACCCUCCGGUGUCCCGACCCAGGCUAAGCUUGAGCAUGGCUGAGCAGGAGCCCACAGCCGAGCAGCUGGCCCAGAUUGCAGCGGAGAACGAGGAGGAUGAGCACUCGGUCAACUACAAGCCCCCGGCCCAGAAGAGCAUCCAGGAGAUCCAGGAGCUGGACAAGGACGACGAGAGCCUGCGAAAGUACAAGGAGGCCCUGCUGGGCCGCGUGGCCGUUUCCGCAGACCCCAACGUCCCCAACGUCGUCGUGACUGGCCUGACCCUGGUGUGCAGCUCUGCCCCGGGCCCCCUGGAGCUGGACCUGACGGGUGAGUGCCCUGCGGCCGCGGGGGUUCGGGCGGCCCCUGGUGGGGAUCUCGGGAAGUGCAGCCAGGGGGCCGUGCAGGGCUGGGGCUUCGCGCAGGGCUGGGGGCCCCAGGGCUGCUGGGCAUUGAGGAGGAGGUCCCCCCAACAGGCGACCUGGAGAGCUUCAAGAAGCAGUCGUUUGUGCUGAAAGAGGGUGUGGAGUACCGGAUAAAAAUCUCUUUCCGGGUAAGCUACAGGCUGCUGUGGCCAGGGA